AUGAAGACGGAAAUUACUAAGUAGAACAUUCGAAUGCGUUGGGUGUAACCAGUACACUUUUGGCUGAUUUAAUUUCGAGUAAUCUAGGAAGCUGAAGCAAGCAAUUGUUGAUAGCAGCUUUUAUAGGAGAGUUUGCGACAAGUUUAUUCCCAGGCAGUGUAAGUGAGACGGAAGGGGAGGCAAGAAUGAACCCACAUUUGGACAGAGAGAGGGAAAGCAAGUCUAGAUCUCUUCCCACACAUAAAGAGAGGGAAGGUGUGAAUUUGUUAACAAUAGUUGCAAUGUUUGGU